ensembl:snoRNA
ACUGCCAAUAGAGAUAAUGCAGGUGCGGCUGCUGUGUUUCAUGUGGAUUAGUCUGUGACACAAAGGACAGAUAUGCUUAGCAUUUUGACCUAUGAACUUCUGAAUGAUUGGUAGCCUGUAUU